AACGAACGCUGGCGGCGCGUCUUAAGCAUGCAAGUCGAACGGCAAGAGAGGAGCUUGCUUCUCUCCUAGAGUGGCGGACUGGUGAGGAACACGUGGGUAAUCUACCCUUAAGAUGGGGAUAGCUGCUAGAAAUAGCAGGUAAUACCGAAUACACUCGGCAUAUCACAAGAGGUGUUGAGGAAGGGAAGCUACGGCUUCGCUUGAGGAUGAGCUUGCGUCCCAUUAGCUAGUUGGUGAGGUAAAGGCCCACCAAGGCGACGAUGGGUAUCCGGCCUGAGAGGGUGAACGGACACAUUGGGACUGAGAUACGGCCCAAACUCCUACGGGAGGCAGCAGCUAAGAAUAUUCCGCAAUGGACGGAAGUCUGACGGAGCGACGCCGCGUGGAUGAAGAAGGCUGAAAAGUUGUAAAAUCCUUUUGUUGAUGAAGAAUAAGGGUGAGAGGGAAUGCUCAUCUGAUGACGGUAAUCGACGAAUAAGCCCCGGCUAAUUACGUG
rnacentral:rRNA from 1 species